CCUACGGGGGGCAGCAGUGGGGAAUAUUGGACAAUGGGCGAAAGCCUGAUCCAGCCAUGCCGCGUGUGUGAAGAAGGCCUUCGGGUUGUAAAGCACUUUCAGUGGGGAAGAAAGCCUUGGGGCUAAUACCCUCGAGGAAGGACAUCACCCACAGAAGAAGCACCGGCUAACUCCGUGCCAGCAGCCGCGGUAAUACGGAGGGUGCGAGCGUUAAUCGGAAUUACUGGGCGUAAAGCGCGCGUAGGCGGUCUGAUAAGCCGGUUGUGAAAGCCCCGGGCUCAACCUGAGAACGGCAUCCGGAACGGUCAGGCUAGAGUGCAGGAGAGGAAGGUAGAAUUCCCGGUGUAGCGGUGAAAUGCGUAGAGAUCGGGAGGAAUACCAGUGGCGAAGGCGGCCUUCUGGACUGACACUGACGCUGAGGUGCGAAAGCGUGGGUAGCAAACAGGAUUAGAUACCCCAGUAGUC
rnacentral:rRNA from 1 species